rnacentral:lncRNA from 1 species
AGCUUGUUAUCCACCAUGUUAAAUGGCGUCAAAACUCGUGACAUCCCUUGCUUUAUCUUGAGCUCUGAUGCCACAACCUCUUCUCAGCUUUAUUCUCCAACUCCUCCGCCGGUUUGGUGAGCCACAACCAAACCUGAUUGAGACAUUGAUCCCAGCGAUCCCAACAGCUUUGGUGCUCAGCAUGUAUUCGACUCCAUGACAUCUGCAUCGUGGAUGAAGCUCUUUAUCCACCGUGGCCUUCUCUCUUCCAAGACCAGACCUUGAAAGGUGCCUUCACCACACUACGAUUCACCACCGCAGCUUGUCCUCUCUAAGUUCUAUAUCCGUCACUUUUCCCUCAUCUCUCUUAUGCGACCUCCGGUGAUCCCCUGUGUCAAAGACGAGUAUAGCAUACUCGACAUGCAUGAAAAAUCUUGCUUUCAAGGCCUAAGUAUUGAGAAAUGGAAGCUGAAUCAACAGCUUUUUCAGGUCCUAUACAAAGACUGAGCUCUGUCAAAGAUACAUCUUCAAAGAGUGGGAUCAGUCAGAGUUUUGAUGUUAAGCCUCUCGAGAUAAACACUUCACUGAAAAUUCUUAUAAAAAUUAAAGUGGCCUUUUGCGUUUUUAACUUAUGAUGUGUAUUGAAAUCUCCAGCUAUUGGAUGACCUCUCUGUGGAAUGUAGGAAGUUUGGAGAUGUUUUGAAGAGUAAAGUACAUAUAAUUUCAAAAGAUAUGAAAGAUGCCAGGUCUAGUAAAAGCAGCUAAGUGAUCAGUGUUUGCUUACCAGCUUAUGAAAUUAUCUAUGAGAUUUUAUACUGUGUCAAAGUCAAUACAUCCGGCUUGUUACUUAAUAAAGUCUCAACCUUUUUUUUUGUUUUCUUACUUUCACUUCUGUUGAGUAAACAAAGAACACAAUAUUUUCUUUAUCUUCACGACACUCCCAAUGUUUACGUGACUGCAUUUAUGCUAAAGUACCUCUUCUCAGCUUUAUUCUCCAACUCCUCCGCCGGUUUGGUGAGCCACAACCAAACCUGAUUGAGACAUCGAUCCCAGCGAUCCCAACAGCUUCGGUGCUCAGCAUGUAUUCGACUCCAUGACAUCUGCAUCGUGGAUGAAGCUCUUUAUCCACCGUGGCCUUCUCUCUUCCAAGACCAGAGCUUGAAAUCUUCACUGAACCCAUGUGCCUUCACCACACUACGAUUCACCACCACAGCUUGUCCUCUCUAAGUUCUCUAUCCGUCACUUUUCCCUCAUCUCUCUUAUGUGACCUCUGGUGAUCCCUUGUGUCAAAGACGAGUAUAGCAUACUCGACAUGCAUGAAAAAUCUUGCUUUCAAGGCCUAAGUAUUGAGAAAUGGAAGCUGAAUCAACAGCUUUUUCAGGUCCUAUACCAAGACUGAGCUCUGUCAAAGAUACAUCUUCAAUAAGAGUGGGAUCAGUCAGAGUUUUGAUGUUAAGCCUCUCGAGAUAAACACUUCACUGAAAAUUCUUAUAAAAAUUAAAGUGGCCUUUUGCGUUUUUAACUUAUGAUGUGUAUUGAAAUCUGCAGCAAUUGGAUGGUCUCUCUGUGGAAUGUAGGAAGUUUAAAGAUGUUUUGGAGAGUAAAGUACUUAUAAUCUCAAAAGAUAUGAAAGAUGACAGGUCUAGUAAAAGCAGCUAAGUGAUCAGUGUUGGCUUACCAGCUUAUGAAAUUAUCUAUGAGAUUUUAUAGUCUGUCAAAGUCAAUACAUCCGGCUUGUUACUUAAUAAAGUCUCAACCUUUUAUUUUGUUUUCUUACUUUCACUUCUGAUGAUUUUUUUUUUUGUCAUCUACUUCUGAUGAUUAAACAAAGAACAUAAUAUUUUAUUUAUCGGCACGACACUC